rnacentral:rRNA from 1 species
UACAGAGGUCUCAAGCGUUGUUCGGAUUCAUUGGGCGUAAAGGGUGCGUAGGCGGCGCGGUAAGUCGGGUGUGAAAUCUCGGAGCUUAACUCCGAAACUGCAUUCGAUACUGCCGUGCUUGAGGACUGGAGAGGAGACUGGAAUUUACGGUGUAGCAGUGAAAUGCGUAGAUAUCGUAAGGAAGACCAGUGGCGAAAGCGACUUCCUGGACCAAUACUGACGCUCAUGCACGAAAGCGUGGGGAGCAAACAGG